rnacentral:lncRNA from 1 species
CCUGGUGGUAAUGUUUAUUGAGCAUUUACCAUGUUCUAAACAUCAUGCUAAGCACUUUAUGUAGAUCAUCUCACUUAAUCCUCACUGCAUUAUGAGCUGGUUUCAAGUAUUAGCACCCUCAUCUUACAGUUGGGAAAAACUGAGGUUCAGAUUAGUUCAUUCAUUUGCUCAAAGUCACAUAGCCCAUAUGUGGCAGAACCAGCAUCUGAACUCAGAUCACUGCCUCCAAAAGCUGAGCUCUUAAAACUAUGUCUUAUAUUAUUAAACAUCAAACAUUAUAAAGCGGUGAAACUCUGUUCUUGUCAUCUGUGUGAAAAACAGUUUUGAUCCAAGAUGUGAUAAAAUCAUUCAAUUAGAGAAUCUUUGAAUUGUAAUGGGUCCUGUGGGAUUAUCAAACCCAACCUCCCACUCAAUGGAGGAAUCCCCUUUCAGUCUAUAGGCCGGUGCAUGUAACAAGUGCUUAAUUGUGUUGAACUGGAGAAGACAUUCUGGCAGCUGAUUAUCCAGUUUCUGCAUGAACCUCUCCCAGUGAUGAGGAGUUCAUUGCCUCCCAACGCAGCCUCUUCCAUGUUAAAAAGCUCUGCUUGCCAGAAACUUCUUUCUCUGCUGAAAACGACAUUGAUCUGUAGUUUUCCAUCUUUCUCUCAUUGCUCCUCGUUGCAGGAAAAAAGUUGACAGUUUUACGAUUUGAACAUUUGACUGAAAAGUUUUUUGCUGCCAUUCAGUCACCACAUCCAUCGUUGCCUGCCCUUCCCAACCUCCAGAAGGAAAGGGAAACAAAACAUUAGGGUUGUAUUUUGUUUCCUCAAGUUUGGUUAAGUUAGAGCAAGAUUUGUUCGCUCAAGACGCUUCUUCCUUAUCCUUUUUAACAUUAAAAUGUUGGAAAGGAAUAAAAGCAAAAAAGGAACAGAACAGUAGAAUCUACUUUCCAAUUACAUCAAUAAAUGGGUGCACGGAGCAUGUUGAAUUCGAUAGAAAUGUUUGCUACGCUACUGGGGCAGGGAGGAAGCCUGUGGUUAAAUCUAUCAAUUUUGUUGUUUUUACAAAAGUACCGGAGCCAUCUGUGUGCGACCCAGUCAUUAGCUUGGGGUCCUCUCCCUGCAGAAGGAACAAUUAGAAACACCAUGUGCUGGUUCUCAAAACUUGUGCCCUGCACCUCCACCCAGAAGGCUAGAUUUUCCAUUAGUCCCUUAUUUCUAUCUUAUUGGUAAGGAGCUGCUUCUAAACCUUUCUCUUUUCUCCUGACUGAAGGAGGAGGUUAAAUUCCCCUUAGAUUUAGGAAGGCCCAGGGAACCACCGAGACGGCGAGACCUCCUGGAUUCCUAGAGAACACUGGGGGGAGGGGCUGUGACGCACUUCCGGUAGGUUUUCCAGGACUUGUGUUUGUCUUGAACGUCUGAUUUUCGGCUCGUUGUCUCUCUGCCCGGGCGACCCAGGCCUUCUGAGUUCCCGUCUGCGGGUGGCGGUGGGGACACGAGAUACAUGGUCACUGUCCCUAGCAUCUGGCCCCGGCAGGGUGUAGAGAGAAGCCCCGCACCCUUGGUUCCGUCUGCCCCUGCCCAAACCACCUUUGUGCUUUGACUUAACCUAAAUGAUGGGGUCGAUUAGGAAAGACUGGAGACAAAACAAGACGCUAGCAUCUUUCUGCCCUUGUACAGAAUCAUAGGAAAACCUUACCAGAAAGUGCAGCUCCGGUGGUUUGGAUCCAGGAAGAAAGAACAACCUAGAGAUGUUCCAGAAAAAAAGAAGCUACAAAAAUUAGGGUGGUCGCAGAUUUGAACCUGUCAAAUCACUGAUAGCAGAACUAAGAGAAGCUCGUUAAAAUCAGCAUGAGAUAAGGUAAAUUAUUAUCAGAAGUACACUUGCUCCAUGGGUAGUAAACUAAUGAAGUACCUACAGAGAUACAGAAAACAUCGCAGAUAAAAAAUUAGAGAUAUUCAAGCGUGAGCACCAAAGAGGAGGAACUGGUGUGUUUUGGAACUGACGUCAACGACAGUUUUACGUCUUCACAACACGUCUGUCCCUUGGUACCUCUGACAGAGGUAGAAUGAUGAGCAUGAUAAAUCAUGAGUUUGAUGUAAAAUGGUAACUGCAACUGCUGUGUUUUAUGUUUGGCUGAAAAUAUUACAAAUAUUUAUCACUGAUCAUGAGGGCGACUAGGAGAGAAUAUGACUGAAUUAGCACAAACCCAUCACUAGGUCUAGAUAAAUAACCUUGACAAACUGUUGGGACUAUAGUAUAACCUUGAUUCUAAGAGAAAAAAGUUACAUUUGUUGUGCACCUGAUUAUGUGCUUAUUUCUGUGCUAAGUACCUUACAUGGUGUAUUAGUCUGCUUCGCUGCCAUAUCAAAAUGCCACAGACUGAGGGCUUAAACAACAGAAGUCUAUUUUCUCACCAUUCUGGAGGCUGGAAAUCAGGGAUCAAGGUGUCUGCAGGGUUGGGCUUCUCCUGAGCCCUCUCUCCUUGGCUUGAAGAGGACUGCCUUCUGGCUGUGUCCUCACAUGGCCUUUCCUUUGAGCAUGUGCACUCCUAAUGUCACUUACUCUUCUUAUAAGGACACUAGUCCCAACCAUGUGGGGCUCCGCCCUUGUGACCUCAUUUAACCUUAAUUCCUUAAAGGCCCUGUCUCCAAAUACAAUCACACUAGGGGUUAGGGUUUCAAUGUAUGAAUUUUGAGAGGACACAAUUCAGUCCAUAACACAUGGCUUACCAUGUAUUUACAGCAACGACUUGAGUGUAUCUCAGUUUUACAGUUGGGCAAUCUGAGCCUCAGAAAGUUAAUAAAUUGUCCAUGGUCAGAUAGGCAGUGAGAACUGGAGUGAAGGUUAUGACCCUGAUGUGCUCAGCUCCGAGCCUGAGUUCUUUUUCUGCAGUAUGUGGAGUAUCUUUUUUCUUAUGUAUUUCUAUGGGUAUUUAUACUCUCCAUUUAUAUAGUGGUUUUAAGUUUCCAAAGCAUUGUCACUUGAUCUUCAAAAGCUCUGCAGGGAAAGCAAGUACUAUAGUCCCAUUUUACAGAUGAAGAAAUGGAGGCACAGUGAUGUUAUGACUUGACCAUAACUCUGAAAUGGAGCCGGAGCCUCAGGUCUCCUGACUCCUAACCUAGAUAGUGCUCUAUACUACAGUGAGAGAUAAAAAGGUCAGGAUCUGAUGUUUUCAUAGCUUCCUAAUUCUCCUAUUCUGUCAGCAAAUUGCUUAAGCUCCCUUCCCCAUUCCCACAUCUUUCUCGAUAAGGAGGGCUGACUGGGAGGUGGAGACUUGGGGCUCUUUCCUUGCAUGUUCUCAGCCUCCCAGGGAGAGUUUCAUUUGCCUUACAUUUUCACCUCAAAAAGGAGUGUAUUGCCAUAUUUCUCCCUUAAGAGAGCAAGAUGUUGAGCAACUGCCUUCCAUUCUGGGACCCUAGCCCAUCCUAGUCCAGGAAUGAGAAGCCUGAAGCAUGUUCUUAGACUGCUUAUGCCGGUUCCCCGGAAUCACCUCUGUGGCACUCUGAGCAAGCCAGGGCAGGAACAGCUAUGAAAAGUGGAUUGUUAGUGCAUAAUUCCAAGCCUCAAGGGUCAUGGAACAGCUUUUCCUUUCCUGUUCUUGCCUCUCAUCUUCAACAUUAAUCUUCUUCUUAGGAAAGAGACAAUCCUCUCUAACUGGGGGUCCUUAUAGUUUUGGAAGACUAUUUGCCUGACUUUUGUAUUCCCCUAACCUGAGUAGCAAGGACAAGAAGUGAGCUUAGCAUGUAUAUUAGAAUAUUAGUUAUAGUCUUAGAAUAUUAGUUUGCUUCCAUUUCUUUCCUGUGCACUUGUAACUCAGUAGGGAAGUCCUACUUUGUUAUAUAUUAAGGGUGCUGGCAGUUUAAAUGGUUAUAAAGUGCAUUCACAUUCACUGUCUCAGUUUCCGUUUGCAGUUUCCCUGUAAGCAAGAUGGAGUAGUAGUAGAAAAUAGACCCAGAAAAGUUCGGAAACUUAUCUAAGAAUAAGCAAACCAGUUCCAGCAGAGCUGGAACUAAAAAGCCGAUCUUAACAUCACACUGGUGAUCUAAAACAGGAAAAUUAGGCACCCCUAAUAAAGAAGAGUAAAGAGACUCAGCCUGCCCCAGUAUCUGCAUUAUUUGGCUUUGUGAUUAGGAGGGAUGUGCUUUGUUCUGUGAACCAAGGGGUUGGUUUCUAGCUCUGGCUCUCCCACUGUUAACUGUGACCCUGAGCAGGUCACUCCUUUCUCUUGGGCCUUGUUUUUUCUCAUGUGAGAGGUGAGCUGGUUGGAUUAAAUAGCCCCUGAUGGCCCUUCUGGCUCUAACACUAUAAUUCUGUGACCUGUCAGAGUCAGGUAGGAAUGGGAAAAAGAGACCCUGAUCUACAUUCACUCAUUCAUUCAUUCAUUCAUUCAACAUUGUAUUCGACAAAUAUCUGUUGAGGACCUACUAUGUGCAACAUUAACUAAAAGCAUAGAGUACAAAUAAUUAAAAAUUUGGGGAAAUAUCACAAAGGAAAACAACAGGGUAUGAUGAGAAUAAAAAACAAAGUGACCUACCUUAAAUUGGUGGACAAGGAAGAACCCUAAGGAAGUCAAAUAUAAAACAGGCCAGAAAGAAGAUACAGAGCUGAGAGACUGAAUAUAAAAACAGACAGUAGCCAGACUGUAUAUAAAAAUAGAACCUGGCUCACAAUAUGCAGCAACCAACCCAAGAAACCAACCUGUUACCUACAGUGUACAGCCCAGGAAGCCAACCUACUAUCUAUAAGGCAGACUUGUAGGAAGUGAGACCACUGUCUCCAGCAACCAGUUCAGGAAGCCAAACAAUAGCCCCUGUAACAAUCAUCCCAAAAUAACCAGGACUUGGUUAAGAACUGACAGCUUCCCUAAUCUUUGCCCUUGCUUCCAACUUAGGGCCAACUAGAGAAAGCCAGUCACAUAGGAUGCCCGCUUCUAGUUAGCCCACCCAAAGCUUCCCCAGGCUAACAGCCUCCAAUCAGGGCACACCUGAAACCUUCCCUUUUGUCCACUCCUUUGCUUGCCUUUGAGUCUCACAACACAGGUAAUGGUGGCUGACUGCCUUGCUGUAGGAAGCUCUGAAUAAAUAGCCUUUACUUGUUCCCAUUUAGGUGGUCUCACUUUAUUUCCACAGAGCCAGUCAGGAGAAUAAAGUGAAGUAGUCUGUUCUAGGCAGAGGAAACUGAAAAGGAGAUCAGUGUGGCUGCAGCAGGAUGAACUAGAAGGAGAUGCAUCCAACAUGCCUAGCCAGAGGCAGAAAAUAGAGCCAAAACUGGACAGGUGGACUCUCAGAGUUCACCCUAACAUCAGAGUUAUGGCUGAGAUAACCCUACUAAUUUCAAAGGUCGUGAACCUUCAUAUCAAGGCAAUCUUGUCUUGAUCUCGACAUCUCUGACCCUUGCUCAGUAUUGUUUUCAUUGGCUGCAAUAUAAAGAUGGUAAGUGAGAAGACACACACUCUCUCCCCCUGUGCCUGGAAUAUCUAUUCAACACCACGCAGUUAAUCCAAGGGUAAAGGAAAACAAUAGAUAGCUUUGCUCCUGUGGUAUUUCAUUCAUAAGACAAGUCACCUUUUGGGUAGUGAAUUCUCUCGUUGCCCAGUAAGUUGCCUAUGACCAAGGAAAUCGAAUCUCAUAGAACUCUCCCCUGUUGAACCAUUCCUGAGCUGUGGGUUUUCUGGUAUCUUCAAAGAUGAGAGCUGCCACCACAUCUCUUCUCCCAUGCACAACACUGGUAAGUUUUCUCUCCAGGAGAUUCUAUAAUGUAAAAUUAAGCUGGUGCCAUGACCAAAACUUUCCCACAUCCAGGAUUUGCAGGGCUUCUCUGCUGUGCAUCAUGAAGGUUAUGCUGGGGCAGAAGCCACCUGACACCAUUGCAUUGUAGGGUCUCCCCCUAGCUGGAUUCUCUGGGGCACCAUGAGGCAUGAGCUUUACCUCAAGCUUUUCCCACACAUGACACAAGGACGAAGUUUUGGCUCAGUGUCGCCACCUAGUGCUCAUGAGGGUGCUGAGCUCUACCUGAAGCUUUUGCCACUCUCACUACAUUCUUUGCUUUCAUUUCAAUGUGGAUUCUCUGAUGCACCAUCUGUGUGGGGCACGUAAGGUUUUCUUAUAGUCAAGGCAACGAUAUGGCCUCUUCCUGGAGUGGGGCAUGGUGAGGUGUGAGCCAGAAGCAAAGCUUUCCCCCUCCUCACUGCACACCCUGAGGAUCUCCUGGGUGUGGCCUCCCAGCUCUGCUCUGGCUGGAACGUGUGCCACAUUCCUUACACUGGUAGGGCUUUUCUCCGGCACGUGUCUUCUGAUAUCACACCACGUUAGAGCUCUGUCCAGAGCUUUUUCCAUUCUCCCCUGUGUGGUUCAUGAAGACAGCAAGGAUGGUACUUUCACCAAAAACUUGCUUCUGGGGUAAUUUCCCCAGGCGUCUCUGUGAACAUCUCCACAUUUCCCCACUCUCCCGCCCAAACUUUCACGGCUUUGCCCACCAUCACCACUAGUCUAUUGUUUGGUUCCUCCAAAGGAGGUCCUGGAAGUUUCACUUUGUCCCACCACUUUCUGCCUUGAAGCCUCUUUGUUGCUUUUUUUCACUUUAG